rnacentral:rRNA from 1 species
UGAGGAAUAUUGGUCAAUGGGCGAGAGCCUGAACCAGCCAAGUAGCGUGCAGGAUGACGGCCCUAUGGGUUGUAAACUGCUUUUAUAUGGGAAUAAAGUGAGGGACGUGUCCCUUAUUGCAUGUACCAUACGAAUAAGGACCGGCUAAUUCCGUGCCAGCAGCCGCGGUAAUACGGAAGGUCCAGGCGUUAUCCGGAUUUAUUGGGUUUAAAGGGAGCGUAGGCUGUUUGUUAAGCGUGUUGUGAAAUGUAGGAGCUCAACUUUUAGAUUGCAGCGCGAACUGUCAGACUUGAGUGCGCACAACGUAGGCGGAAUUCAUGGUGUAGCGGUGAAAUGCUUAGAUAUCAUGAAGAACUCCGAUUGCGAAGGCAGCUUACGGGAGCGCAACUGACGCUGAAGCUCGAAGGUGCGGGUAUCGAACAGG